GACGAACGCUGGCGGCGUGCCUAACACAUGCAAGUCGAACGAAGCAUAGCAAUAUGCUUAGUGGCGGACGGGUGAGUAACGCGUGAACAAUCUGCCCUGUACAAAGGAAUAGCCUCGGGAAACCGGGAUUAAAACCGUAUGACACUUUAGUAUCGCAUGAUAAGAAAGUCAAAUCGAUUAGAGGUAUGGGAUGAGUUCGCGUCUGAUUAGCUGGUUGGCGGGGUAACGGCCCACCAAGGCGACGAUCAGUAGCCGGCCUGAGAGGGUGAACGGCCACACUGGAACUGAGACACGGUCCAGACUCCUACGGGAGGCAGCAGUGGGGAAUAUUGCACAAUGGAGGGAACUCUGGUGCAGCGACGCCGCGUGAGUGAAGAAGGUCUUCGGAUCGUAAAACUCUGUCCUUGGUGAAGAAAGGACGGUAGCCAAGGAGGAAGCCCCGGCUAACUACGUG
rnacentral:rRNA from 1 species